UCUUUGAUACGUAGGCCCAAAUGAUGUUGCUGGCUACAAAUUUCUUGUGGAAAAUUUAUGAUGCCAACUGUUUCCACGAAACUUUCUUUCUUGCUUAUUUCAGUCAGUCAACGUUGUGUGUUAGUUAGUAUGUACACAUAACUAAUUAUUCCUCCUUAUCAAAAAAGCUCUGCAAUCUCCCAGCAAGAAAAAAAAAACAAUGGCUUCUUCUUCUUCUUCUACUUCUUUAACUCUUUUGGCUCCUCCUUCUUCUUUGCCUCCCAAUUGGAAAAAUCAUAUUUUUCCAAGCUUCCAUGGGCCAGAUGUCCGCAAAACCAUUCUCGGCUACAUUGUCAAGGAGUUCAAGAGCAAAGGAAUCCACCUAUUCAUCGACAAAAAUAUAGAGAAAAGUAAGUCUAUAGGUCCUAUGCUCAUAGAAGCUAUUAAAGGAUCUAGGAUUGCGCUUGUUUUGCUCUCGAAGAACUAUGCUUCGUCGACAUGGUGCUUGAACGAGCUUGUGGAGAUCAUCAAAUGUAGAGACGAGGUGGGUCAAACCGUGAUUACACUUUUCUAUGAAGCGGAUCCAACUGAUAUAAAGAAGCAAACUGGUGGUUUUGGGAAGGUCUUUGAAGAAACUUGUAAAGGAAAAACAGAGGAAGAGAUCCGAAGAUGGAAACAUGCUUUGACGGAAGUGGCCCAAAUCGCAGGUUUCCAUUCAUCCUCAAUAGAAUGGGAAACUGAAGCAAAGAUGAUUGAAGCUAUUGCGACUGAUGUUUCCAACAAGUUGAACUUUUACUCAUCAUCAAAUGAUUUCGACAGCAUAGUUGGGAUGGAAUCUCAGAUGACAGAAUUGGAACCACUUUUACAGCUAGAUUCAGACGAGGUGAGAAAAGUAGGGAUUUGGGGUCCGCCUGGGAUUGGUAAGACCACCAUUGCUAGAUAUAUAUUCAACCGAUACUCCCAAGAUUUCCAAACGAGUGUCUUUAUAGAUAAUAUCAGAAGAAACUAUCCAGCACCAGCUUGUUCCGAUGACUACAGUGUGAAGUUGGAUUUACAAAAACAGUUUAUGUCGCACCUAACCAAUGAUAAGGAUAUCAAGGUUCCACAUUUGGGAGUCGCCAAAGAUAGGUUGAAAGACAAGAAAGUUCUUGUUGUCCUUGAUGAUGUGGAUCAGUCAGUGCAAGUGGAAGCCAUGACAAACGAAGCUUGGGUUGGUCCUGGGAGUUGGAUUAUUAUCACCACACAAGAUCAAAAGGUCUUAAAGGAAAGUAGGGUCGACCAUAUACACGAGGUGAAUUUACCAUCAUUUGAUGAGGCUCUUCAAAUCUUCUGCAUCCAUGCUUUUGGUCAAAAAAUACCUAAGGAUGGUUUCAUGGAGUUUGCUCGUGAAGUUACUAUUCUUGUAGAUUAUCUUCCGUUGGGGCUAAAGGUUAUGGGAUCAUAUUUUCGGGGAAUGUCCGAGCAAGAUUGGACAGUGGCACUACCAAACUUAAGGUCUCACCUUGACCGAGUCGGAAAAAUUGUGAGCAUAUUAAAGUUUAGUUAUGAUGCCUUAUGUGAUGAAGAUAAAAGUUUAUUUCUUCAUAUAGCUUGCUUUUUCCAUUUUGAAGUAGUUGGUAUAGUGGAAGCCUGUCUAGAAAAAUCUUUUUUGGAUGUGACACAAGGGAUUCGUGUCUUAUCUCAAAAAGCUCUCAUAUCUAUUGACUGUGGAAGGAUACUUAUGCCUAAUUUGCUAAUCCAACUGGGAAGAAAAAUUGUCCGACAAGAAUAUGCUAGUGACCCUGGAAAACGGCAGUUUUUGAAUGAUGCAAAGGAUAUUGAAAAAGUACUUAGUGACGAUAAAGCUGGUAGUAGCGGUGUCAUAGGAAUAUAUUUCGAUCACAAUGAGGAAAUAAAAUCAUCGACAAGUGAAAGAGCCUUUGAAAGAUUUUCUAAUCUUCAGUUCUUAAAAAUCGUUGGCAAAGGCGUUAAUCCAGGAAGUAUGAACUACAUGUCCCAAAACCUAAAACUAAAAGUACUAAAAUGGUGGGAAUGCCAGAUCCCAUGUUUUCCUUCAAGCUUUAAUCCAGAGUUCCUAGUCGAACUAGGCAUGAUGCACAGCACGCUUGAGAAAUUGUGGGAAGAUAUUAAACCGCUCAACAAUCUACAGCUGAUGGACUUGACUCAUUCAUGUUAUUUAAAAGAGCUUCCUGAUCUCUCAACUGCCAUUAAUCUAUAUUAUUUGAGUGUUAGCUGUUGUUCAAGCCUGGUGAAACUCCCUUCCUCUAUUGGGAAUGCAAUCAAUCUCCAAAGAUUGGAUCUUAGUCUUUGUACAAGACUAGUGGAGCUCCCUUCCUCUAUUGAGAAUGCAAUUAAUCUCAAAUUUUUAGAUCUCAGUUUUUGCGAAAGUCUGGUGUUUCUUCCUGACUCUAUUGGAAAUUUGACUAAUCUCCAAGAAUUGGAUCUCAGUAAUUGCUCAGGUCUGGUGGAUCUCCCUGCCUCUAUGAGAAAUCUUGGUAGCGUGUCGAAAUUGAAAUUAGAGGGAUGCUCAAAGUUAGAGCUUAAUCUGGCCAACAUCAACUUGGAAUCUCUAGAAGAAUUCGAUCUCUCAGGUUGCUUUUUGUUGAAAAGCUAUCUUAAGAGUCAUUUUGUAGUAAGCGGAGUGAAGGAGCUGGUAUCACGCCUACCUCUUCCGGAUUGGCUAGGAGAACAUCUCUCAGAUUGGCUUUUGUCGAAAGUUUAUCCUGAGAGUUCAACAGAAAUUAAAGAGCUUGAUCCAUGGAUCGGGAGAAUAUCUCGUCUAAAGUUUCUUAAACUAAAUGGGAUGAAGAAUCUGGUAUCACUCCCACCGCUUCCGGAUUCGUUAUUGGAACUCGAUGCAGAAGAUUGUGAGUCCCUGGAGCGACUAGAAUUCCCCUUCCGCAAUCCAGAUAUUCGUCUCAACUUCGCAAACUGCUUCAAACUAAAUCAAGAAGCAAUAGAUCUCAUCAGCCUGAUGCCGACCAAUAAAUAUGCGGUCUUUCCCGCUGAAGAAGUGCCUCUGUGCUUCACUUACCGAUCUUCUGGGAGUUCAUUAACCGUGAAGUUGAAUCAAAGGCCAGUUGGAAAAUCAGCCAAAUUUAAGGCUUGCAUCUUAUGUGCUUCUGAUGACGAAAAUAACAUUAGUCUUUCGGAAAGUGCAACCAUUGCUUAUAAUAAAAGAAUAGAGCGAAUUUUACUGGGGAUUCUGGGCAUUGAGGGUGAGGUUGGUGAAACAGAGGAUCUAUCUGCUGAUGAGGGGGAAGAGGAGUCUAGUAGAUAUUCGGGAUCUAUUCAGGAUCUCAUUUUCAAAGAAGAAAAACGAUACUCGGGAUCUAUCUGUUGUAGCAUCACGUCGAGAGAGAAUUCUCUCACUUAUUGUAAAAAAGAAGUAGAGGCAUUUUUUCUAGGGCAUCUGUGCACAUUCGAGGUUGAGGUUGAGACAGAGGAGGUCACUUCCACCGAGCUUGUUUUUGAUUUCGGGCUCCUCAUUUCGGAUUCCACAACAUUGAAGAUAAAAGAAUGCGGGAUACUCCCACUCCCAGAGGUCCCUUUUUUGAGCUUCACAGAUUACGAUGGAUUAUGAACCUUCACACAUUGAAAGCUCUGGAGAUCGCGAUGAAGAUUAUGAAAUUCCAGACAAUGAGAGCAGCGGAGAUCGCGAUGACGGCAACAACUAGAAUAUAAACUCCAUGAGAGGCUUGCAUCUUCUGUUAACAUGGCCCACUUAUCAUCCCACAUAACCGGUUUGAUGCUUCCUACCGUAAGCAUGGGUUCUAUGGUGAAGGUUUGAUUCAACACCAUGCGUCCACCAGCUACACUGUUCCCUGUGAAGAAGAUGCAAGUGUAACUAAUAAUGGCCACCAAAAGCAAUUCAAUAUCUGAGUUGAAGGAACUAAACUUACGGAAGUUUAGAACAACAGGAUCAGCAUGGAAGACACGUCCAGUACCGUGGCGGCGUGGCCUACAUAAUUUUGAACCACUCCAUAUUUAUGUUUAUCUGCAUGAUCACUUCAUAAAUAUUUUAAUUUUUCAAUAUGUAGCAGAUGAAUAAAAAAACACUAAUUGCUCAAAAGGAAUUAGUCUCUUACUGAAUGGUUUUGCUGA